rnacentral:tRNA from 3 species
GCGGCAUUAGCUCAGUUGGUAGAGCAUUGGAUUGUGGCUCCAAAGGUCACCGGUUCGAGACCGGUAUGUCGCCCCA